rnacentral:rRNA from 1 species
AGUGAACGCUGGCGGUAGGCCUAACACAUGCCAGUCGAACGGCAGCACAGUAAGAGCUUGCUCUUACGGGUGGCGAGUGGCGGACGGGUGAGGAAUACAUCGGAAUCUACUUUUUCGUGGGUGAUAACGUAGGGAAACUUACGCUAAUACCGCAUGCGACCUACGGGUGAAAGCAGUGGAUCUUCGGACCUUGCGCGAUUGAAUGAGCCGAUGUCGGAUUAGCUAGUUGGCGGGGUAAAGGCCCACCAAGGCGACGAUCCGUAGCUGGCCUGAGAGGAUGAGCAGCCACACUGGAACUGAGACACGGUCCAGACUCCUACGGGAGGCAGCAGUAGGGAAUAUUGCGCAAUGGGCGAAAGCCUGACGGAGCAACGCCGCGUGAGGGAAGAAGGUCUUCGGGUCGUAAAACUCUUUUAUUAGGGAAGAAAAAAUGUGGAAGAAACCCUGCAUGUCUUGACGGUACCUAAUCAGAAAGCCCGGGCUAACUACGUG